CCCUUAGACGUUCUGGGCCGCACGCGCGCUACGCUGACACAGGCAACGAGCUUUCCUUUACCGAAAGGUAUGGGUAAUCUUUUGAAACUGUGUCGUGCUGGGGAUAGAUCCUUGCAAUUUUUGAUCUUAAACGAGGAAUUCCUAGUAAGCGCGAGUCAUCAACUCGCGUUGAUUACGUCCCUGCCCUUUGUACACACCGCCCGUCGCUACUACCGAUUGAAUGGCUUAGUGAGGCCUCAGGAUCCGCGCUUAAUGUGUGGAGAAUUUGGACAAACUACGUCAUUUAGAGGAAGUAAAAGUCGUAACA
rnacentral:rRNA from 1 species